GAGCCAAUAAUCCUCCCGACUCCACAGAAGGAGGUGAAAUCAUUGACUCAACCGACGAGGAAGAUCCGGCACCAGAGGAAACUUCAGAUCAAAGCAUUGAUGGGCCCCCAUUGUCAUGAUAGAGUAUUAUCCAGCCGGGUGUGUGGUUGUGAACUCCUUGUGCCAGAUAUAUAUAUCCAUGAACAUACUGUUGAAUUUUGUUUGAAAAUUGAAAUUGUUGACUCCUGACAAAAAAGUAUUUUCAUGGUUUUCUUUUUUAUUACGGUGUGUUUAAAUGUGAAUUGAUUUGAAUGGGAAGUUUAAUUUUUAGCGUGGAAAUUGGAAAGGUGUCUGAAUGUUAAUGUAAAGAUGAAAUUAAGGUGGAGAAAAUGGUUUUUUUUUCAUAUAUGUGUAAAUGUGACAUUCAUGUAUUUAUAAGUGACGCGUCAUUUCAUCAGCAUAUCAUUUUGUUGGUUUUUGGUUAACAUGCUCUUAUCAUCUGUAAUUACUAUUACUUCAUUACCAUUCAUCAUAGGGUUAUUCCAAAAAUUCAUUGCUUUGAAAUACAUGUAAUUCAUUAAAAGUUGUCUAAAAAGUUUAAUAAUUUGGAUUUUCUCAAAAGAAGUUUCCUACUGCUUAAUAUAUUUUCAUGUUUUUAUACCAAAAUCUCCAUCAUAUUAUGUUGUAAGUACUCAUAAAUUAUUUUUUCAAAACACUGCAUUCAUAAAAUCUUCAUGUAGAAUUUUUUUAUCCACACUGGCAAUAUCAAAAAGCAAUUCUCCAUUUUAAAUUUGUAUUUUUAUAAAAUUGUUAGUUCUUUAGCAUCAAAUGUUUAUAUAACUUCAAUUUGUCUUAAUAAUAAAAUUGUAAGUGAUAACUCCAUCUUAAUUUUUAAAUUGUAGUAUUAUUUUUGAAAGUAAAAAAAUAAGAAGUGUAUGUUUAGAUUUUGACAUUCUAUACUUGUAUUCGGCACACAUAAACUUGUGUACCAAUGUACAAGAUUUCCUUUAUUCUGAACAGACAUAAAAUUUAAUGAAGAGGAAGUCCUUAUAUGUAGAUGUUUUUGAUACUUUAAAACAUGACUAAUUUAUAUGUUAAUCCUUCAUUACCAUUAUUAUGUGAAAAAGAAGUUAGUUGGAAUGCUCAGAGAAAAAAAUAAAUUUGAGUAGAUUAAGAACUUUUGUACACUGAGAAUAGGUAGUAAAAUUGUUUUUAUACAAGUGCAAUACUGGUAGUUAAAUGUUUAAAAGUAUUUUAGAGUACAUAUGUACUACUCACUAGGUACUUGGGAAUCAUAUUAAGGAAACUGCAGUGUUCAUUGUAACAAUGGUACAUGUGCAUAUUGCAUAUCUUGUACUGAACCAGAAAUGCUCAUAAUGACUCAUUUGUCUGUCAUUUUGUUAAUGGGAUAAACAAAGUUAUCUACAUGCACAUGGACAUUAUUUUAUUAUAAUUAUUAAACUGUAUUUGGCUGUAAACUUAUGUACUUUGCUUGGAACUUUUUGAUUAAAAAUUUUACCCAAAUC
rnacentral:misc_RNA from 1 species